GUAGCCAAUCCUGUUUCUGUAUUUAACAUAGGGGCGGGCCGCACUCAUAUAGGCUAUCUAAAGCAAACCUUCUAUGUACACUGCUACUUCUGGUUUGGGGAGAUGGCGUCGUUGGCAGCAAUAGAGCCAGGGCUAAACCCGGGGACAUUACCGAAAGAGGAAUCCGUAGUACCAGUUUCUAUAUUCGCACCGGACUGUGGGGAUGACCUGUCAGGGGCAGAGUGCUUCGAAGACGGAGAGAAUGUUAACGGCGAGUCCGAGGAUCAUUUAGACUUUACUAGCAAGCUGACUCUGGUCAGCCCCACAGGAGAACAGUAUGACUCGUUACUACGGCAACUCCGAGAGAGGAUGGAUGAAGGAUGUGGGGAGACCAUUUAUGUGGUGGGAGUGGGCUCAGACGGAGGUGACUAUGGUCUGGACGAGGGGGACAUGGAGGCGUCAGUGGCCACGGUUCAAUCCCUGUGUGAGCAGAUAGAGGCAGACAUGAUCCUGCUGAGAGAACGUAACGACGCAGGGGGGAAAGUACGAGACUACCUCAUCCGCCGACGGGUCGGAGAGGAGGACUUCCUGGAAGUGAGGGUGGCGGUGGUGGGUAACGUGACUUAGGAGUCUCUAAGGACUUUAAGGUAGUAGAGUACAGGACCAGCAGUGGGGGUGUUGACCCAGGAGGAGCUGGAUAAUGACGGACAGGGGGUUCGCCAGGACAGAAACUCUUGACACAAACACGAGAUGGAGAGCGGCAGGACCAGCAGUGUGGGGAACGACAUCCUGGGCUUCGACCAGGAGGGACAUGUGGUGAAUAAGCCAGAUAAUCACGGGGGCAGUCUGGACUGGACUAAGAUCUGUGAGAGGUCCUCUAAGGUCAUCACAUUCAUAGAUCUGGCCGGCCACGAGAAGUACCUGAAAACCACUGUGUUUGGAAUGACCGGGCACCUACCAGACUUCUGUAUGCUCAUGGUGGGCAGUAAUGCAGGUAUUGUAGGGAUGACCAAGGAGCAUCUAGGUUUGGCUCUAGCCCUGAAUGUACCAGUCUUUGUAGUGGUCACCAAGAUAGACAUGUGUCCAGCCAACAUCCUAGCAGAGACACUGCAUCUGUUACAGAGGUUACUGAAGUCCCCAGGAUGUAGAAAGAUCCCCGUACUGGUUCAAAACAAAGAUGACGUUAUCGUCACUGCAUCCAACUUCAGCUCAGAGAGGAUGUGUCCAAUCUUCCAGGUCUCCAAUGUAACAGGAGACAACAUGGAUCUUCUGAAGAUGUUCCUCAACCUGCUGUCUUCUAAAACCUCCUAUAGAGAAGAUGAGCCUGCCGAGUUCCAGAUCGAUGACACCUACUCAGUACCGGGUGUGGGAACAGUAGUAUCCGGCACUACGUUACGUGGAUUGAUACGACUGAAUGACACGCUGCUGCUCGGCCCAGACCCCCUGGGCAGUUUCCUCUCCAUCGCUGUCAAAUCUAUCCACCGCAAGAGGAUGCCUGUCAAAGAGGUCCGGGGGGGACAGACCGCCUCCUUCGCGCUCAAAAAGAUCAAGCGUUCCUCCAUCAGGAAGGGGAUGGUGAUGAUCUCUCCCAGACUAACACCUCAGGCUACCUGGGAGUUCAUGGCUGAGAUACUGGUCCUGCACCACCCCACCACCAUAUCACCACGAUACCAGGCUAUGGUGCACUGUGGCAGCAUCAGACAGACAGCCACCAUUCUGACCAUGAACAGAGACUGUCUACGUACCGGGGACAAGGCCUCAGUCCACUUCAGAUUCAUCAAGACCCCAGAGUACCUCCACACAGACCAGAGACUGGUGUUCAGAGAGGGACGCACCAAGGCUGUGGGCACCAUCACCAAGCUGCUCCAGUCAGUCACCAAGGCCCAGCAGGCCAAGAUGCAGUCCACUAAGAAGGGCACCACGUCAGCCAAUGAGGAGGCAGGCUCGGCACUGCGGCCUGACAGCCCCAGUGCAGGACAGCUACCGACAGUGGGGGAGGAGGAGACGCUAUGUAAAGACGGCAACAAAGAGAACCAGCCCAAGUCAGGAGGUGGAGGCAGGAGGAGAGGGGGUCAGAGACACCGAGGAAAGGCCCUGAACAGCAUAGCCUCACCAACAUCACAACAGCACACACCAGCUGCAGCAGGAGUGGGCACCACUGCCUAACCCCCCCCCCACCACCACCACCAUCUCCUCCUUCCUCUCUCGCUACUCUUAUCUACAUCCACUCUUCUAUAUCUCCUCCUCUACAUCUUGUUUUGUAAUCAUUCUUGUUCCAAUUGGGGGAGAAGGAAUGAAUGUAGCAAAGAAAAGGACGAGAAGUGAAACAUGCAUUAAUCCUAAAUGACACAGCUUAACAUGUCCAUCCUAGUUAGAUCACCAUUACAGAGUAGUUCUAGAACCUCGUUAAAUGUCACUAUGGCAACUAACGACUGAACUGGCUCCUGGAAAAUAGAAGCAGUUGACUCAAUCUAACAGACACGGUGUAGUAAUAGAAAUGAACAAGGUUUUUAUUACAGAUUCAUUAUGUAGACAGGAAACAAAUGGUGUUCAGGCACUGAGAUCUGUUGUCUUAAGGGGUCGUCAUCCAGUAAUAAUGACUGACUCUAGAUUCAAUCUAACAGCAAAUAAAUGGUGUUGUUGACAAGGUUUAGAUGAAAUCUAACAGACCGGACAUGGCAUAGGAGUCAAGGUUUAGAUUUGUUAUUCCAUUGGUCAUUAUUUGGACAGAGGAAUAGUGUACUCCAAGGUCUCCACUCAAUCUAAUAGAACAGGAUAGGUGUAGUUCAGACACGGGAUAGUCCUACCUAACCAACCCCAAGGACAAUGUUCACUAGGCUCAUACACUGCCAUCUGACUAUACAUAAAACAGUGGUUCUGAAACAUUUGGAUCAGGACUCACUGUAGGUCCAUGUUUUGUUCUAUUUUUGCCCUGGUUCUAUUUUAAUAGGAAAUGCAACUAAUUUGGGCCUUGGAAAACCUGGUCUACAAAACCUAUCAUUUAGAUGUGUGCCUUUUAGAUGUCUGCCCAAAAAGAGCAUUGAGUGGAAACUAUGAAAGCUGUGUUUUUUUUUUUUUUUUUUUUUUUUUUUUUUUAAUAGUGGAUUUUGGUCUUGGAGAAAUUUAAGUGAGCUACAUUGUUCAAAUGGGUGCAACGUUCGUUCAAAGUUCUGUCCAUCUUUUGCAGUCAGAAAUGUUGACGCGUGCUGAAAAACACACACCACAUAUCUGUUCUAUAAUUAAUUUCAAUAGAUUUGGGAAUCGUUGCGUAGCGUGUUCUGUAUUGGAUUAUUUAUUUGGCUUUCAUAGAUGAAAGGGUUUGGAAAAUCCAAGAAGGCUAAUACGGCUUAAAAGUAUUUCAGGAGGAUUUAGAAGUUUUCCAUGUUAUCCUCCAUACCCUCUCAAGGACAUUGUUUGAGCCCAAAACGCAGGCGGAAUAGUAGUUUUAAGAUUUGUUGUUUUUAUUCAGUUUCUAGUCAUGCACACCUUCUAUAAAAUGUGUUGACGGAACUAGGGGUUUUGGGAUUGAAGAUUUUAGGUUAAUCCAUUUCCAUACUUGAUAUGAUUCACAAAAAAAAAUCUAAGCUUUUGAUAUGGUUUUAUCAGGUGUGAGCAUUUUUAUUUUUGGGUUUGGAUUGGGACAGGUUACAGUGGUGGAAGGCUUGGAUUGGUUGUUACCACCAGGCAGAAGUUACACUUUAGUACAAAUCUAGGAUCAGUUUAUCCAAUGUCGUGGUAAUUUCCUGUAUUACUAAAUGAUGAGUUACAAACCACACACCAGUCAGAGUUAUACUUAAAUGUCAUCUUUGAAUAAUAUGAGCUUCACCAUAACCAUGUGACUCUCAGAUCAACUCAGUGUCUAGAAAUGAAUUCUCUGAGAGUGUCAACAUAUAAUGGCAACUGAGAUCUUUUAUAGCAAAGAUCCACCCCCUAGUCGACAUGAUAAACCACAGAUCAUAAGAACUUCACAAAGGGCCUUUUACUUACAAAAAGGAGUAUCCCAUAGCCAGAUAGCAUUAGCUAUACAUUUUCGUUCAGUUUGGUCUCUUAGACAAGGUUCUACUUCUCUUUCUUGGUACUUCCUAGUACCAAAACAUUACCUCAUCCAAUGGCAUAUAUCUAUCGUCAAUUAUAGAUACUCCCAUCUCAAAUACACACCCUCCUGGACAAGCUCAUGGAGGAGAGUGAGCCUCUAGGUCAUAUACUAGGUCAAGAGAUGGGCAACAUCAGAGGGGUAAUACAAUGGUUCCAGACACUGCCAUACUCCUCCUCCCAAUGAGAAAAGGAGGGAGUGACUGGAGUACAGACAUGGUGGAGCCCUUCACAUGGUUUAGGAAUAGUUACAGACACAUUCAAAUAUGAAGACAAUCCUGACCUCUCCCCUCUCUGGGCCCCAAGUGACUAUCUCACAUAAGCAUGUUCUGAAAGUAAAUAAAACAUGUUUAUCAAUGUUACCUAACUAAUUCUGAUUCAACUACGACACCAAUCACAGAUGUUAUCCUUUAGUAUUAGAGGGGGAAACAACUGACCUUAGAUCAAGUCUGAAGGUAACCUCAUUUCAUUUCUUAUUUUCUGCUUUUAUGAUGGAUGUUGAUCUCAAUACAUUUGACAACCAUUUUAUUUUUUUUAGCUAAUAUUAGUGUAAACACUUAUUUUUCUUUUUGAAUGGACCGAGUGACACAUUUUUGUGUCUGCAUCUUAUGUACAAAAAUGAAAGUUGCGCCGAAAGAAAAAGAAAGCCCUUUAACUUAACACAGUGGUGCCAGUUUGUUGUAAAUCCUUUUAAAUAAAGAUGUUUCAGAGUA